rnacentral:snRNA from 1 species
GGAAAUGUGAGGGCGAUCAGGCUGCAACCUGUCAUGCCCUUGAUGGCCUGGGUUGAUUUGGCUGCUCUGGCUGGUUAGGUGGAUGUUCCCUUCCCCCUUCACCAUGGCUCCAUGUUCAUCCCUCCAGAAGCUGUGCUAAAGAGGACAGCCUUCCACAAAUACAGCAGGACUGGUCUUCAGUCAGGGGUAGGUAAGUAGCUGUGCGCCCCUCCAAACAAGCUCUCAAGAAGAUGUUGGACACAGAAAGACAAACACUUCAUGUUCUCACUUAUAUCUGGAAGCUAAAAAAGUUUACCUUGUUUUUUUUUCUUU